AAUGAACGUUGGCGGCGUGGAUUAGGCAUGCAAGUCGAGCGAGAACCCGCAAGGGGGACAGCGGCAAACGGGGUAGUAAUGUGUCGGAACGUGCCCUCUGGACGGGGAUAGCGGCGGGAAACUGCCGGUAAUACCCGAUGAACUCGAGAGAGCAAAGGUGUGAUUCCGCCGGAGGAGCGGCCGACAUGGUAUUAGCUAGUUGGCGGGGUAACGGCCCACCAAGGCUGUGAUGCCUAGGGGAUGUGAGAGCAUGAUCCCCACCAUUGGGACUGAGACACUGCCCAGACACCUACGGGUGGCUGCAGUCGAGAAUCUUCGUCAAUGGGCGAAAGCCUGAACGAGCGACGCCGCGUGCGGGAUGAAGGCCCUUGGGUUGUAAACCGCUGUCGAGGGGGAUGAAGUGUACGAGAGUUAUCUCUUGUAUUUGACAGAGCCUCAGAGGAAGCACGGGCUAAGUUCGUGCCAGCAGCCGCGGUAAU
rnacentral:rRNA from 1 species